rnacentral:rRNA from 1 species
UUGCAUAUCAAUAAGCGGAGGAAAAGAAACCAACAGGGAUUGCCUUAGUAACGGCGAGUGAAGCGGCAAAAGCUCAAAUUUGAAAUCUGGCACCUUCGGUGUCCGAGUUGUAAUUUGAAGAAGGUAACUUUGGAGUUGGCUCUUGUCUAUGUUCCUUGGAACAGGACGUCACAGAGGGUGAGAAUCCCGUGCGAUGAGAUGCCCAAUUCUAUGUAAAGUGCUUUCGAAGAGUCGAGUUGUUUGGGAAUGCAGCUCUAAGUGGGUGGUAAAUUCCAUCUAAAGCUAAAUAUUGGCGAGAGACCGAUAGCGAACAAGUACAGUGAUGGAAAGAUGAAAAGAACUUUGAAAAGAGAGUGAAAAAGUACGUGAAAUUGUUGAAAGGGAAGGGCUUGAGAUCAGACUUGGUAUUUUGCGAUCCUUUCCUUCUUGGUUGGGUUCCUCGCAGCUUACUGGGCCAGCAUCGGUUUGGAUGGUAGGAUAAUGAUUAAGGAAUGCGGCUCUACUUCGGUGGAGUGUUAGUAGCCUUGGUUGAUACUGCCUGUCUAGACCGAGGACUG